UACGAGUGCCCCAAGCGUUAUCCGGAAUCAUUGGGCGUAAAGGGUGUGUAGGCGGCAUGGUUAGUCUCUUGUCAAAGCUCCUGGCUUAACCGGGAAAAUGCAAGGGAAACGGCCAUUGCUAGAGGAUGUGAGAGGUGAAUGGAACUCAUGGUGUAGGGGUGAAAUCCGUUGAUAUCAUGGGGAACACCAAAAGCGAAGGCAAUUCACUGGCGCAUUCCUGACGCUGAAACACGAAAAGCGUGGGUAGCGAAUGGG
rnacentral:rRNA from 1 species